CGGCACUCCAGAUGUUUUGGACUACACCUCCCAUGAAGCUUUGCCAGCAUUAUGGGGGAUGUAGUCCUAAACAUCUGGAGUGCCG